rnacentral:lncRNA from 10 species
UAGAGACGGAAUUGGCGGCGGGGGCGGGGGGUCGAUGUCUCACUUUUUUGCCCAGGCUGGUCUCGAACUCCUGGCUUCAAGGGAUCCUCCUGCCUCGGCCUCUUAAAGUGCUGGGAUUACAGGCGUGAGCCACCGCCCCCGGCCGCCUCUGAGUUUCCAGCCUCGUUGGCCCUCCAGCCUUUUAACCUGUUGGGCCUAGGAUCAGGAAAGGUUUGUUGAAUGGGGAACUAAGAAGUGAAUUCGUUCGUUCGACAAACGUUUCCUGAGCAGCCGCUGGGUGCUAGGCGCAGUGCCAGCGCGGAAUGUCCAGGGAGACCUGGUGCCCAAAGCUUGGACCCAUCGUGAGAAAUGAGAAGCAGAUACAAAGCAGUGUGGGAGUGCAGAGGAGACAAAGCAAGCCUCAUCAGGCCCAUUGCUUGCUCUGCUCUCCCUUGUACUUACCAGUGCUUGACAAUAUACAGUUAUUUACUAGCUUGGUUAUUGACUUCCUACCCAGCACUCAGUUUUAUUCACUGCUGUAUCCUCAGUGCCUAGGACGAUGCUUGGAACGUGAUUCAUUGAUUCCAGGUAAAUCAGAGGAACAAGCAACAUGAACAGAAAUAUGUAGAAAAAGCUAUUAUGCAGAAGCAUAAUUGUUGUUUCAGAAGUCCAGCAUCUGGUGCACUUAACAAUAGAGAAUAUAUUAAACUCUUUCCAAAAUAACCUGUUGUUCCUACCUGUGUUGUAAGUGUUUUGUUUGUUUUUAAGUAAAUAUUGGUGAUUUGUUGCCAAAAACCUAAACUGUUUGUUGCUGUCAACUUAAAUAACGAACAGAGAGAGGCUCUCUAAAAGAAAAUGGCAUUUAUUCAGGAAUAGAGCACUGCAAUGAGAAAAUGCAUGCGAUAGUUAACUGUGUGUAUCCUGGGAGAUAGAGGAAGACAAAGGUCUUUAAAGGAAAAAUGAGGAGGGUUACAUAAUUGUUUUGAGAUAAUUAUUUUUGA